rnacentral:rRNA from 1 species
GACGAACGCUGGCGGCGUGCUUAGCACAUGCAAGUCGAACGGAAAGGCCCUGCUUUUGUGGGGUGCUCGAGUGGCGAACGGGUGAGUAACACGUGAGUAACCUGCCCUUGACUUUGGGAUAACUUCAGGAAACUGGGGCUAAUACCGGAUAGGAGCUCCUGCUGCAUGUUGGGGGUUGGAAAGUUUCGGCGGUUGGGGAUGGACUCGCGGCUUAUCAGCUUGUUUGUGGGGUAGUGGCUUACGAAGGCUUUGACGGGUAGCCGGCCUGAGAGGGUGACCGGCGACCUGGGGACUGAGAGACGGCCCAGACUCCUACGGGAGGCAGCAGUGGGGAAUAUUGCACAAUGGGCGGAAGCCUGAUGCAGCAACGCCGCGUGCGGGAUGACGGCCUUCGGGUUGUAAACCGCUUUCGCCUGUGACGAAGCGUGAGUGACGGUAAUGGGUAAAGAAGCACCGGCUAACUACGUG